GACCUCGGAUCAGACAGGGAUACCCGCUGAACUUAAGCAUAUCAAUAAGCGGAGGAAAA
rnacentral:rRNA from 1 species